AUAGGUGAGGUUCACCGCCUGGACUCUGGGAAGGGGACGCCACGCUCCUUCUGCGCAUGUGCAGCCGUAGCCUCCUCGUUCGUCUUCUCAGGACUCCAGAGAACCGUUGGGGAACUUUGGGGUGUGCUCGGAAAAUGCAGGAGCUUCAGAGCAGAGACAAGAGCCCAGAAAGGAGCAGAUGCUAGAUUUGCAAGAUCAGAAGCAGGUCUUGAUCCUCCUGCCCAGAAUGAACCAGACUUGAUGAUGAUGCCACCUUCAGGAGCCACCACACUGUGUGACAGUGGGGCAUUUGGGCCGUCCCUGGGAAGUACAGAUGCGCUGCUGUCACACAUGUCCACCACCACAUGUGACAUUAGUGACGUUAUCCUGAUGUCACAGGAUCCAAGAAUGAUGAUCUGUGAAGAGUUUUCCGAGGUCACCUACUUCUAACUCUUUUGAAAGAUUUAAAGACAUUGGGCCUGAAAAUUUCAGUGACUUGUCCAGGGAAACGCAGUUUGUGACAGUUCACUCUCUCACAGGUAAGUUACCAAAAGCAUCUAUCAAAAGGGCCUUUUGAGAAAUACUUCCCAGCUGAAAUGAACAAUUAAAAAUUCCUGCCUUAAAUCCUCCCAUCUCUUUUACUAGGCUUUCCGUGGAUUGUGUAUACCAGGGGUUAAAUAAUAUUACUGAGAAAAAUAGAUAAAUGAUGCAUACUGAGUAUUUUUCUGCUAAGUUAACUUUAAUGAAGGAAUAGUGUCUUGUCGUUUGGCGUACUUUAAUUCAACUAAUCGGU
rnacentral:lncRNA from 1 species